GACGAACGCUGGCGGCGUGCUUAACACAUGCAAGUCGAACGGAAAGGCCCUGCUUUUGUGGGGUGCUCGAGUGGCGAACGGGUGAGUAACACGUGAGUAACCUGCCCUUGACUUUGGGAUAACUUCAGGAAACUGGGGCUAAUACCGGAUAGGAGCUCCUGCUGCAUGGUGGGGGUUGGAAAGUUUCGGCGGUUGGGGAUGGACUCGCGGCUUAUCAGCUUGUUGGUGGGGUAGUGGCUUACCAAGGCUUUGACGGGUAGCCGGCCUGAGAGGGUGACCGGCCACAGUGGGACUGAGAUACGGCCCAGACUCCUACGGGAGGCAGCAGUGGGGAAUAUUGCACAAUGGGCGGAAGCCUGAUGCAGCAACGCCGCGUGCGGGAUGACGGCCUUCGGGUUGUAAACCGCUUUAGCCUGUGACGAAGCGUGAGUGACGGUAAUGGGUAAAGAAGCACCGGCUAACUACGU
rnacentral:rRNA from 1 species